CACACAUAUGAGUUUAGCCAACACAAAUGGCACUCUCAUACUUUUACUGGUGUAAAUGAAAUAUUCAAGUAUGAAACAAGCGCCAUUAUUUUUGUCCACGAGGAACAUAUCGCUCAUUCUAAUGCAGCAUGCCACCAUCAUUUGUCUGUCUGAGCUGGAUAAUAAUGGUUUUGCCUGUCUCUCUGUGUGAUUGUUUUGAUUACUGGAAUGAACUCUUCCACUGCAUGCGCAUUUGUAUGCCUUGACUUUGAAACGACACCCAGGUACAAAGGACAGCACUCCAUCUAAAGACGUUCAGUGGAUAUAUUACAGCAAAUCAGUGUCAACUCAGACAAUCAGGUCUUCAUGGCAACAGAAGCAACUCACAACCUCCUACUCCAAACAGCUACUACAAUAUUUAAUUGUUUUAUAAUUCUCUGUCUAUUCCUUCUUCUUCCUGCUACUUCUAGGGUAUGGUGCCAUUCAUGGCCAUGGGAUGAACUGAUGUCCAGAACAGCUAGAGUUUUGUGACUGUUCAUUCUCCCUUUUCCCUCCAGAUGUUCUUUAAUUCCACAGAGUCGGACGUAUCAUCCUAACUAGCCCCUGGUGAGGAUGAUAGCAGUCAGUGGAAGCAGCCACCGUCCUUGCUAGGGGCCCUGCAUCAUCAGUGAUUAAACAGGAAAGAGACAGGCAUCCUGUUCUCCCAAAGCUGUCUGUAGCCACAAUUGCAUGUGAUCCCAAUUCAGAGUCCUCUCUAGGAGGUAUGUGGAGUCCCAGGCUAUGGCAGAUAAGAAAACCUGGACACGGGGCCAAAUUCAGAGAUGAUGUACAAGGGUAAAAGAUCUUAUUCCGAAACCCCACAGACUUUGCCAGCAUGCGGAGAUGAAUAAAUACUGGG